GCUCAGAACGAACGCUGGCGGCAGGCUUAACACAUGCAAGUCGAGCGCCCCGCAAGGGGAGCGGCAGACGGGUGAGUAACGCGUGGGAAUCUACCCUUGACUACGGAAUAACGCAGGGAAACUUGUGCUAAUACCGUAUGUGUCCUUCGGGAGAAAGAUUUAUCGGUCAAGGAUGAGCCCGCGUUGGAUUAGCUAGUUGGUGGGGUAAAGGCCUACCAAGGCGACGAUCCAUAGCUGGUCUGAGAGGAUGAUCAGCCACAUUGGGACUGAGACACGGCCCAAACUCCUACGGGAGGCAGCWGUGGGGAAUAUUGGACAAUGGGCGCAAGCCUGAUCCAGCCAUGCCGCGUGAGUGAUGAAGGCCCUAGGGUUGUAAAGCUCUUUCACCGGAGAAGAUAAU
rnacentral:rRNA from 1 species